rnacentral:lncRNA from 1 species
CUAUGUGCUUGGCGAAAUUUUUUUGAUAGCAAUGUAGUUGAAGCUUGAGGAAUUGUAUAUGACGAAGUCUUUCACCAACACUCUCUUCCUCUGGAGGCAUUUCUACCAACUAUGGAUGAUUGAGGAACAAAGCAUGCAGGAGCAUCUCAACCACUAGAAGAUCUUUACCGACCUCCUUAGUGUUGGUGAAAAUAUUGAGGAGA